rnacentral:rRNA from 1 species
CCUACGUGUGGCAGCAGUAGGGAAUCUUCCACAAUGGACGAAAGUCUGAUGGCGCAACGCCGCGUGAGUGAAGCAGGGUUUCGGCUCGUAAAGCUCUGUUGGUCGUGAAGAAAGAUAGAGGUAGUAACUGGCCUUUAUUUGACGGUAAUUACUUAGAAAGUCACGGCUAACUACAUGCCAGCAGCCGCAGUAAUACGUAGGUGGCAAGCGUUGUCCGUAUUUAUUGGGCGUAAAGGGAGUGCAGGCGGUUAAAUAAGUCUGAUGGGAAGCCCUUCGGCUCAACCGGAGAAUUGCAUCAGAAACUGUUGAACUUGAGUGCAGAAGAGGAGAGUUGAACUCCAUGUGUAGCGGUGGAAUGCGUAGAUAUAUGGAAGAACACCAGUGGCGAAGGCGGCUCUCUGGUCUGCAACUGACGCUGAGGCUCGAAAGUAUGGGUAGCGAACAGGAUUAGAUACCCGGGUAGUC